AGGCAGCAGUGAUACACGGUAAUAACUGUUAUUUGACGUGUUUAAACACGAGUCAUAUAGUAUAGCAAUCAUGUAUCUGGCUGUAUCGCGUACCCUGUGUAUGGUAUUGUCCCGACAGACUGCGGUGGCAAGGUGAGUUGUAACAUGCACCGUGUGCAUAGCUAGCAACGUUGUUACAGCAGUUGAACAUGCUUUAUUCUACAUGUAGCUACAUAUUGUAUUUAAUUCUAUCAUAGUUGUUGUCCAGUUGUAUGCUAAAAUCUGAGCCAGUUAGCUAGCUAAGUUAUCUAUUUACUGCAGUGCUGUUACAAUGGCUAGAUUUAGCUAACUAAUACUCCCCUUCCUCUGACUUGCUAUGUUCUGAACAGCUCUUUGAUUGGAGUGAAUGGUCAAGUCAGACAAGGUUCUUGUUGUCUACAAAGAGUUUGUUCUCUGGUGCACGUUAGUUUCAGUCGUCUACUCUGUUUUCUAUUGGCACCAUUUGUUAUAAUUGCACUACAGGCUCAACUCUCACUCAUUCUGCCUAUGUGUGCCAUUACAGGGCGGAGCCAAAGAAGAAGAAAGUGGACCCUCGUAAAGAGCACUAUUAGUGCAAUCCAAAUGCAUUGCUCUGUCCUAAUGUACACCUGAACAGGUCCUUACUCUAUUUGUUCAUUUCCUCUAGGGUGUGCUGUGUUCCUCAGCUUCCCUUUGAGGAGAGUGAAUAACGGGCUCUACUGCUGAAGGAGUGGUCCUGCUACAAACAGACCCAGCACCGGGUUGAGAUGGAGGCAGUAAGUCUGGCUGUGGAGGCCAAGUGGGAUGCUCUGGAGGAGCUGAGGCUGGAGUGAGAGGAGCUCUACAAGGAAUCACUGAGGCCAAACCCCCUGCUCUUCCCUUUCAACCACCAGGGAUCCAGCUUCACGAGGCACCUGAGGGCAAAUGCAACAUCAAAGUUUACACCCAGUGAGUGUAACACAUUGUGGGCGUAAUACGCGUUGACAUGGUUGUUCAUCCAUGUUUUCACAUGAUUUGAACAGACAGACAAAAUAUUUGACGAGGAUGUUCAUGAAAGAAGAUAAACAUUUAAGCUUGCUCAGAACAACGGCCCGGGCACCAUUAGUGGGUGUAUGUCUCAUUCAAAGUAAGGGUAAUUUAACUGCUUUACUGACCAUGACCUAUUCAUCGUAUUGACAACUGCCCUAGCAUGGAUACACAAGUUUCUAUUCACACUCAUGAAGUGAUUCACAUUUUGUAGUGUGUGUGCUCUGUAAUGUUAUAUUCAUAGAUCUCAUAGGUUUAAAUACAGUCUGUAAGUAAAACAUACCAGGGUGUUAAAAUAAAGGAUUCACAUUUGUUUUAUUUGAAAUGCAUUUUUAUGUAUGCAUGUAUGUAACACUAGAUAAGGUAUCAUGUGAAAUAAUAAAAGGCAAAGAUCCUGUG